rnacentral:SRP_RNA from 1 species
GCCGGGCAUGGUGGCGUGUGCCUGUAAUCCCAGCUACUCAGGAGGCUGAGGCAGGAGAAUUGCUUGAACCUGGGAGGUGGAGGUUACAGUGAGCUGAGAUCGUGUCACUGCACUCCAGCCUGGGUGACAGAGCAAGACUUCGUCUCAA